GUGUUAUAUACAAGGCAACUUUUCUUUAGCACUUCCCUUGAUAAGGACAGAAAAGGCCUUGGGCCUUAUAAUUUUGAUGAUUAAGGCAUUGCUAUUUAGUUAAAGAAGGUUAUACUGACAUUUUU